rnacentral:rRNA from 1 species
UGAAUACGAGACGCUAAGGCGUCGAAGUAGUGUAUGUCAUACUUCCAAGAAAAGCUUGCACUGUCAUAAGUAAAAAAUGCCUGUACCAUAACCGACACAGGUGGGUAGGUAGAGUAUACUAAGGGGCGCGAGAUAACUCUCUCUAAGGAACUCGGCAAAAUAACUCCGUAACUUCGGGAGAAGGAGUACCUUAUUCUAUAAGGUUGCAAUAACAAGAUCCAAGCAACUGUUUAUCAAAAACACAGGUCUCCGCUAAGUCGUAAGACGAUGUAUGGGGGCUGACGCCUGCCCAGUGCCAGAAGGUUAAAGAAGUCGGUUAGCAUUAGCGAAGCUGGUAACUGAAGCCCUGGUGAACGGCGGCCGUAACAAUAACGGUCCUAAGGUAGCGAAAUUCCUUGUCGGGUAAGUUCCGACCCGCACGAAAGGCGUAAUGAUUUGGAUACUGUCUCGGAGAGGGGCUCGGUGAAAUAGACUUGUCUGUGAAGAUGCGGACUACCUGCACCAGGACAGAAAGACCCUAUGAAGCUUUACUGUAACUUGAAAUUGAAAUUGGACUUUAUUCGCGCAGUAUAGGUGGGAGGUGUUGAUUAUAAUCUUGCGGGAUUAUUGGAGCCAUCAGUGAGAUACCACUCUUGUAAUGUUAGAUUUCUAACUUUGAAUCAUUAUCUGGUCAAAGGACAGUUUCAGGCGGGCAGUUUGACUGGGGCGGUCGCCUCCCAAACGGUAACGGAGGCGUACAAAGGUUUCCUCUGAACGGGUAGAAAUCGUAUCUAGAGUGUAAAGGCAUAAGGAAGCUUGACUGUGAGACCUACAAGUCGAACAGGGACGAAAGUCGGUCUUAGUGAUCUGACGGUACUGAGUGGAAAGGCCGUCACUCAACGGAUAAAAGUUACUCUAAGGAUAACAGGCUGAUCUCCCCCAAGAGUUCACAUCGACGGGGAGGUUUGGCACCUCGAUGUCGGCUCAUCGCAUCCUGGGGCGGUAGUACGUCCCAAGGGUUGGGCUGUUCGCCCAUGAAAGCGGUACGCGAGCUGGGUUCAGAACGUCGUGAGACAGUUCGGUCCAUAUCCGGUGUAGGCGUUAGAAUAUUGAGAGGAGCCUUCUUUAGUACGAGAGGACCGAGAAGGACAUACCUCUGGUGUACCAGUUAUCGUGCCAACGGUAAACGCUGGGUAGCUAUGUAUGGAGUGGAUAACCGCUGAAAGCAUCUAAGUGGGAAGCCCACCUCAAGAUAAGUAUUCUCAU